rnacentral:rRNA from 1 species
UACGUAGGGUGCAAGCGUUAUCCGGAAUUAUUGGGCGUAAAGAGCUCGUAGGCGGUUUGUCGCGUCUGCUGUGAAAACCCGAGGCUCAACCUCGGGCCUGCAGUGGGUACGGGCAGACUAGAGUGCGGUAGGGGAGAUUGGAAUUCCUGGUGUAGCGGUGGAAUGCGCAGAUAUCAGGAGGAACACCAAUGGCGAAGGCAGAUCUCUGGGCCGUGAACUGACGCUGAGGAGCGAAAGCAUGGGGAGCGAACAGG